CUGCUGCAGGACAGGAGGAGGUCGAGAGAAUACUUGGAGCAGAGCCUGCCAUAUCUGAACAAUGCUCAGGUCCCCUUGCGAGAGAUGGCCGUCAGGUUCAUUGGGCUUGGUGCGCGGCAGCUGAGGGGCCGAAAUGAGAAGCAGCUGGAGGAUAUCUGCAACGCCCUCAAGCCCUUGGCGACUGAUGAUGAACACAUGAUCCAAUCCCUGGCAGCUCAGACGUUGCUGACCCUGGAAACACCAAAGAAGUCAGGGUGGGCCCGACGAAUACUGACCUGUGGGUUCUGCAGAGACACGGAGUGAUGAAGGUCCCCUGGUGAAACUGGCCACACGUGAAUAAAGCUGGACCAAGCAGCCCAGUCCCUCAGUGUCCUUCAC